rnacentral:rRNA from 1 species
GACGAACGCUGGCGGCGUGCUUAACACAUGCAAGUCGAGCGGGCAAGGCCCUUUCGGGGGUACACGAGUGGCGAACGGGUGAGUAACACGUGGGUGACCUGCCCUCAGCUCUGGGAUAAGCCUGGGAAACCGGGUCUAAUACUGGAUAUGACUCCAUGACGCAUGUUGUGGGGUGGAAAGCCUUGUGCGGCUGAGGAUGGGCCCGCGGCCUAUCAGCUUGUUGGUGGGGUGAUGGCCUACCAAGGCGACGACGGGUAGCCGGCCUGAGAGGGCGACCGGCCACACUGGGACUGAGACACGGCCCAGACUCCGUACGGGAGGCAGCAGUGGGGAAUCUUGCGCAA